UGCAAGUCGAGCGAAUGGAUUGAGAGCUUGCUCUCAAGAAGUUAGCGGCGGACGGGUGAGUAACACGUGGGUAACCUGCCCAUAAGACUGGGAUAACUCCGGGAAACCGGGGCUAAUACCGGAUAACAUUUUGAACUGCAUGGUUCGAAAUUGAAAGGCGGCUUCGGCUGUCACUUAUGGAUGGACCCGCGUCGCAUUAGCUAGUUGGUGAGGUAACGGCUCACCAAGGCAACGAUGCGUAGCCGACCUGAGAGGGUGAUCGGCCACACUGGGACUGAGACACGGCCCAGACUCCUACGGGAGGCAGCAGUAGGGAAUCUUCCGCAAUGGACGAAAGUCUGACGGAGCAACGCCGCGUGAGUGAUGAAGGCUUUCGGGUCGUAAAACUCUGUUGUUAGGGAAGAACAAGUGCUAGUUGAAUAAGCUGGCACCUUGACGGUACCUAACCAGAAAGCCACGGCUAACUACGUGCCAGCAGCCGCGGUAAUACGUAGGUGGCAAGCGUUAUCCGGAAUUAUUGGGCGUAAAGCGCGCGCAGGUGGUUUCUUAAGUCUGAUGUGAAAGCCCACGGCUCAACCGUGGAGGGUCAUUGGAAACUGGGAGACUUGAGUGCAGAAGAGGAAAGUGGAAU
rnacentral:rRNA from 1 species